rnacentral:rRNA from 1 species
UACGAAGGGGGCUAGCGUUGUUCGUAAUCACUGGGCUUAAAGGGCGCGUAGGCGGGCUCACAAGUCAGGGGUGAAAUCCCACGGCUCAACCGUGGAAGUGCCUUUGAUACUGUGGGUCUUGAGGGAGGUAGGGGCGUGCGGAACUUCCGGUGGAGCGGUGAAAUGCGUAGAUAUCGGAAGGAACACCGGUGGCGAAAGCGGCGCGCUGGACCUCUACUGACGCUGAGGCGCGAAAGCCAGGGGAGCAAACGGG